UUUAGGUAGCGCCUCGUGAAUUCAUCUCCGGGGGUAGAGCACUGUUUCGGCUAGGGGGCCAUCCCGGCUUACCAACCCGAUGCAAACUGCGAAUACCGGAGAAUGUUAUCACGGGAGACACACGGCGGGUGCUAACGUCCGUCGUGAAGAGGGAAACAACCCAGACCGCCAGCUAAGGUCCCAAAGUCAUGGUUAAGUGGGAAACGAUGUGGGAAGGCCCAGACAGCCAGGAUGUUGGCUUAGAAGCAGCCAUCAUUUAAAGAAAGCGUAAUAGCUCACUGGUCGAGUCGGCCUGCGCGGAAGAUGUAACGGGGCUAAACCAU
rnacentral:rRNA from 5 species